GGGGAAUAUUGGGCAAUGGGCGAAAGCCUGACCCAGCAAUGCCGCGUGAGUGAUGAAGGCCUUAGGGUUGUAAAGCUCUUUUACCCGGGAUGAUAAUGACAGUACCGGGAGAAUAAGCCCCGGCCAACUACGUGCCAGCAGCCGCGGUAAUACGUAGGGGGCGAGCGUUGUCCGGAUUCAUUGGGCGUAAAGAGCUCGUAGGCGGUUUGGCAAGUCAGGUGUGAAAUCUCCGGGCUCAACUCGGAGAGGCCACCUGAUACUGCUAUGACUUGAGUCCGGUAGGGGACCAUGGAAUUCCUGGUGUAGCGGUGAAAUGCGCAGAUAUCAGGAGGAACACCGGUGGCGAAGGCGGUGGUCUGGGCCGGUACUGACGCUGAGGAGCGAAAGCGUGGGGAGCGAA
rnacentral:rRNA from 1 species